rnacentral:lncRNA from 1 species
UGUGAAGGUCUUUGAGUGUUUACGGAGCACAAUAUUCUUUAAAUGAUUGAAGAAACACAGACACCAGCUCCCACAUGGUUUUGCACCGUUCCUCCUUCAAGAAGUUUGGGAUACCUCUGGAUUAACACCCCCAAGUUGCGGCAUCUGGCCAAAGUGAGAAAUGAGUUUCACAUACAUUAUUGAAUUCCAUACAGCUUUCUUCAUUCGGUGUACUCUGAUUUUGGCUGCUGUUAUCUGGUGGUACUGACUAGUAACGUGUGGAA